UGGGUGUUGAUUAAUUUGUAAUCUUGGUAGAUGUAUAUUUUCAUAAAUAAACUAAUAUGUCGGUAACAAUGACUAGUUCAUGGAUGAAAAUCGAAUGAUAUCGCUCUCAUGUUAACGGUAUACCCUAGCGGAGAUCCACUGUGGGAUGAUAGGUGAAGAUGAAAGCAGGUCGGACCGUAUACGGAACCUUUUAGGGCACCGUGCGCAUGCCCACGCUCGAACUCCCGUGUGGAUUAGUCUAUGGUUACGCAUCGCUGUCGACCUACAAGCAGAAUAAAGUCAGUGCGAAUGAAACUACAGGAAAGAGAAAGGACCAUCAGUUCUGACCUCACCUGAGCGUCCUGCUGAUCCCUGAACGCUCUGCUGCAGACGGCGCAGACGAGCACCAGCGUGGGCGUCAACUCCUCCUCGUGAGCUCGGAGGUGCAUCCUCAGCCGGGAUCUACGCGUCAGCUGCUUCAGGCAUAUGUGGCAUUGGAAGGACUGUCAACAUUAUACCUCUACGAGACUUAUUGAGAGAGAAGAUAAUUAUUAGCGUGAGAUACAUAUCAGUGACCUAACUGAGAUACAAGGCAGAGUCCAACCUAAGAUACAAGUCAGUGACCAAUCUGAGAUACAAAU